rnacentral:rRNA from 1 species
UACGGGGGGGGCAAGCGUUGUUCGGAAUUACUGGGCGUAAAGGGCUCGUAGGUGGCCAACUAAGUCAGACGUGAAAUCCCUCAGCUUAACUGGGGAACUGCGUCUGAUACUGGAUGGCUUGAGUUUGGGAGAGGGAUGCGGAAUUCCAGGUGUAGCGGUGAAAUGCGUAGAUAUCUGGAGGAACACCGGUGGCGAAAGCGACGUGCUGGACCCUUUCUGACGCUGAGGCGCGAAAGCCAGGGGAGCAAACGGG